rnacentral:rRNA from 1 species
UAGUCCACGCCGUAAACGAUCAUCACUCGCUGUUGGCGAUAUACUGUCAGCGGCCAAGCGAAAGUAUUAAGUGAUGCACCUGGGGAGUACGCCGGCAACGGUGAAACUCAAAGGAAUUGACGGGGGCCCGCACAAGCGGUGGAGCAUGUGGUUUAAUUCGAUGAUACGCGAGGAACCUUACCAGGGCUUAAAUGUAGUAUGACCGGUCUGGAAACAGGCCUUCCCGUUCGGGGCAGAUUACAAGGUGCUGCAUGGUUGUCGUCAGCUCGUGCCGUGAGGUGUUAGGUUAAGUCCUGCAACGAGCGCAACCCCUAUUCUUAGUUGCCAGCGGUUCGGCCGGGGACUCUAAGAAGACUGCCAGCGCAAGCUGAGAGGGAAGGUGGGGAUGACGUCAAAUCAUCACGGGCCCUUACGUCCUGGGGCUACACACGUGCUACAAUGGCUAGGACAGACGGGCUGCAAACCNGCGAUGGGGGAGCUAAUCCGACAAACCUAGUCGUAGUCCGGGAUUGGGA